GCCUUAAUCAUGUUAUAGAUGGUUGUAACCAUUGCUGUAGUGCACUGUUUAUUAAAUCAGUGGUUUCAAAGUUAAAUUAAUAAUUAUUAAGUAGAGAUUGAUGUUACUCACCCAGACCAACACAAAUCUCUUUGGCUCAGCCUCGGGGAGGGACCUUGAGGGGUGUCCCUGCUCCAGGGAGGAAUCCACACGCACUCCUAGGAGGACUGUGCUGGAAAUCCCACUGUUAGAAGGUGGGGUUGAGCUUUUAUAGGAUGAAACCACGGAGUGUCAGUGAGGCGUUGCUGGGGGAGCCCUGCCAGCUCAGCACAACUCCAUUUAUCCUUAAAUAAGUUAUUUCUGCUCUCUGGUUCCUCUCAGGAAACAUCUGUCCCCCACAUCCCCUCCAGUGCCAGCUGCUCUCAGGACACACUGGGUUUCACAUCCUCGUGGUGUUUAAUUUUGGGAUAUUUGAGCCAGGCUGCUCUGAGCUUUCCUGGACACCACCAGCAGCGUGACUCCCCCUCCACCGCUGGUAACUCUGCAAUUAGGUGAAAUUUGACCUGUUUCACCCUAAUUGUGUCCUGCUACAAGAAGGUGUUGUCGAGGUUCCCCUACAAAUCCAGGGUAGCCAAAAUCAGGGGCUCCCCUGGGAGCAGGAGGGGCAGAAAGAGCUGAGGGUCUCAGUGGGGAGGGGGAACAGCAGGAAAACCAGAACAUCCCAGUGAGCCGCUGUCCUCACCUACAAUUCCCUAUUGCAGCCCAGCCCCAGGGACCCCAGACCUUUCCCUGGCCCUGAUGGCAUCCCUUGGAAUGAGGAGGAGGACAGGAUAUGGGCACCCCAUGACUAUCCCCCAGCACCCCCCUGGGAUGACAGAGAAGAAAUCCGAGGACCUGUGGAUGACUUUGGAGAGGGCUGGGACCCGCAUCAUCCCAGGGGUCCCAGACCCUUCCCUGGCCCUGAUGGCAUCCCUUGGAACGAGGAGGAGGAGGACAGGAUAUGGGCACCCCACGACUACCCCCCGCCCCCCUGGGAUGGCCGAGGACCCGAGGAGGACUUCACACAGGACUGGUUCCCAGUGAGCUUGUGGGUUGGGGGGUGGUAGCAGCUGCAGGACUGAGGCUGGGGAGUGGGUAAAAUGGGGCAGGGGCCACUCACUGCCCUGGUGACAAGGACAGGGUGCGGGGAUGGGUUUCCCAGCUCAGCCUCCGCUCUACUGGAGGAUUCCCUGUCCCAUUCCCUGUCUAAACCCACCCCCUUUCCUACAGGAGUGGCAGCCUGGCCCCUGUCCUGAACCCCCCUUGGAGGAGGAGCGGCCCCCACCCUGGCAUCCAUCUAGCCCACCAGGGUGAGUGCCGUGCCCAGGGUGGGGGUUCAGGGGGUCCGUGUGGCUGUGGGGUGGCACGAA
rnacentral:lncRNA from 1 species